AAAAACUGCAGUUUUGCACUAUUUAUGUCUAAUGUUUGAUCGUCCAUCAUAUUUAAAAUUUUUUAGAUUAGUAUUUUUAUCCUUAUUAGAUGAUAAGAUAUAAAUUAUGUAUGACUAUUUUUUUAUAGAUUUUUCAAAUAACAUAGACGAUCAAACGUUGGAAACGAAAAUCCACGGUUGUACAUAAC
rfam:Oryza punctata chromosome 1, whole genome shotgun sequence.